GCGGAUAUGUAUUAAAGGUAAAUAAUCUGCCUUCCAAGCAGAGAAUAUGGGUUCGAUUCCCGUUAUCCGCU
rnacentral:tRNA from 1 species